rnacentral:ncRNA from 1 species
UACCUGGUUGAUCCUGCCAGUAGUCAUAUGCUUGUCUCAAAGAUUAAGCCAUGCAAGUCUAAGUACGAGCUCUCGUACAGUGAAACUGCGAAUGGCUCAUUAAAUCAGUUAUGGUUCAUUUGAUCGUACAGUUUACUUGGAUAACUGUGGUAAUUCUAGAGCUAAUACAUGCGAGAAGCGCCGACCUCGCGGGAGGCGUGCAUUUAUCAGACCAAAAACCGGCCGCGUCUUCAGGCGCGUUCGCCUUGGUGACUCUG